AAAUUGAAGAGUUUGAUCAUGGCUCAGAUUGAACGCUGGCGGCAGGCCUAACACAUGCAAGUCGAACGGUAACAGGAAGCAGCUUGCUGCUUCGCUGACGAGUGGCGGACGGGUGAGUAAUGUCUGGGAAACUGCCUGAUGGAGGGGGAUAACUACUGGAAACGGUGGCUAAUACCGCAUAACGUCGCAAGACCAAAGAGGGGGACCUUCGGGCCUCUUGCCAUCAGAUGUGCCCAGAUGGGAUUAGCUGGUUGGUGAGGUAACGGCUCACCAAGGCGACGAUCCCUAGCUGGUCUGAGAGGAUGACCAGCCACACUGGAACUGAGACACGGUCCAGACUCCUACGGGAGGCAGCAGUGGGGAAUAUUGCACAAUGGGCGCAAGCCUGAUGCAGCCAUGCCGCGUGUAUGAAGAAGGCCUUCGGGUUGUAAAGUACUUUCAGCGGGGAGGAAGGUGUUGUGGUUAAUAACCGCAGCAAUUGACG
rnacentral:rRNA from 1 species